GCUUGGGUAGCUCAGUCCGUUGAGCACUUGACUUUGGCUCAGGUCGUGAUCUCACAGUUCAUGGAUUCAAGCUCCAUGUCCAGCU
rnacentral:tRNA from 1 species